rnacentral:rRNA from 1 species
CAAUAGCGUAUAUUAAAGUUGUUGCAGUUAAAAAGCUCGUAGUUGGAUUUGUGGCGUACGGUGUGUUCCGGGCACUUGUUGUCUGAGUAACCUGCUGUUGCCAUCCUUGGGUGGAACCUGUGUGGCAUUAGGUUGUCGUGCAGGGGAUGCCCAUCAUUUACUGUGAAAAAAUUAGAGUGUUCAAAGCAGGCUUAUGCCGUUGAAUAUAUUAGCAUGGAAUAAUGAGAUAGGACUUUUUUGCUAUUUUGUUGGUUUGCGCAAGAAGGUAAUGAUUAAUAGGGACAGUUGGGGGUAUUCGUAUUCCAUUGUCAGAGGUGAAAUUCUUGGAUUUUUGGAAGACGAACUACUGCGAAAGCAUUUACCAAGGAUGUUCUCAUUAA